GAGGGUAUAGCUCAGUGGUAGAGCAUGUGCUUAGCAUGCAUGAGGUCCUGAGUUCAAUCCACAGUAUUUCUA
rnacentral:tRNA from 1 species